UACGGAGGGUGCAAGCGUUAUCCGGAUUCACUGGGUUUAAAGGGAGCGUAGGUGGGUUGGUAAGUCAGUGGUGAAAUCCCCGAGCUUAACUUGGGAACUGCCAUUGAUACUAUCAGUCUUGAAUACUGUGGAGGUUAGCGGAAUAUGUCAUGUAGCGGUGAAAUGCUUAGAUAUCGGGAGGAACACCAGUGGCGAAGGCGACUACCUGGCCUGUUCUUGACGCUGAGGCGCGAAAGCUAGGGGAGCAAACGGG
rnacentral:rRNA from 1 species